rnacentral:rRNA from 1 species
UCCUACGGGGCGCAGCAGUGGGGGAUAUUGCACAAUGGGGGAAACCCUGAUGCAGCGACGCCGCGUGUGGGAAGACGGUCCUCUGGAUUGUAAACCACUGUCCCCAGGGACGAAGAUGACGGUACCUGGGGAGGAAGCUCCGGCUAACUACGUGCCAGCAGCCGCGGUAAUACGUAGGGGGCGAGCGUUAUCCGGAUUCACUGGGUGUAAAGGGAGCGUAGACGGCCGUGCAAGCCAGGAGUGAAAGCCCGGGGCCCAACCCCGGGACUGCUCUUGGAACUGUGCGGCUGGAGGGCGGGAGGGGG